UACGUAGGGGGCAAGCGUUGUCCGGAAUCAUUGGGCGUAAAGAGCGUGUAGGCGGCCAGAAAAGUCCGCUGUGAAAACUCGAGGCUCAACUUCGAGCUGUCGGUGGAAACUUCUGGCUAGAGUCCGGAAGAGGAGAAUGGAAUUCCUGGUGUAGCGGUGAAAUGCGCAGAUAUCAGGAAGAACACCCGUGGCGAAGGCGGUUCUCUGGGACGGUACUGACGCUGAGACGCGAAAGCGUGGGGAGCAAACAGG
rnacentral:rRNA from 1 species